rnacentral:tmRNA from 1 species
GGGGGCGUAAAGGUUUCGACAGGGAUUUUGAAGUAUCGGAAGCGAGCAGCGGUGCGGAACCGCUAUAAAAUCCGUAAAACAAAUUAACUAACAACAAUAACGUUGCUUUAGCAGCCUGAUUUAGGCUGCUCAUCCGAUCCGAGAGCACCGCGGCUCGGUAAGGGUGUCAUUUUAGCGGUGAACGUGAACACGGGCGCGCUCCUGCCCCUGUCACGGAUUUGGAGCUACUGAGUGCGGAAGCUUGACGUUUAGCGUCCGCAUAAGGGAAUGUAAAUAAACGUCUGCGCUCGGAGACGCCGGUACGGAUUGAUUUUUGGACAGGAGUUCGACUCUCCUCGCCUCCACCA